GACAGAGGGUGCUAGCGUUGUUCGGAAUUACUGGGCGUAAAGGGCGCGUAGGCGGUCUGUUAAGUUCGGUGUGAAAUCCCCUGGCUCAACUGGGGAACUGCGCUGGAAACUGGCAGACUCGAGUACCGGAGAGGAGAGUGGAAUUCCUGGUGUAGCGGUGAAAUGCGUAGAUAUCAGGAGGAACACCGGUGGCGAAGGCGGCAUCCUGGACCGAGAUUGACACUGUAGCGCGAAAGCUAGGGGAGCAAACGGG
rnacentral:rRNA from 1 species